UCCCCAUAAUUCAGCACUGCGCGGUUAGAAUGUAAACAAAUGUAUGAUUCGCAUCGGACGACUAGGCUGUUGCACCUCUGCGGACCCUUACUACGGCAAGCGGGUUUGACAGCAUGAGCAAAGAAACACAAACGAGGACUUCUAUAAAUCAAAAGUUAGUCGAAAUGGGUGAACGAGAGCGGUUGAAAGAGUUGCUAAGAGCCAAGCUGGUUGAGUGUGGCUGGAGGGAUCAGCUGAAGGCACAAUGCAAAGAUGUAUCAGAGAUAAGGGGUUGGAACACGUGACAGUUGAGGAUCUGGUGACAGAAAUCACGCCCAAAGGAAGAGCGCUGGUGCCUGACAGUGUCAAGAAAGAACUCCUGCAGAGAAUACGGGCUUUUCUGGCGCAGCAUUCCACCUUGUAGAUGAGACCCUGUAGUGUUGUAAAUGAGUCGGUCCCUGUAGUGUUGUAAUGUGAUGUACGUAGCUUUGGAUGUACAAAGACCUACAACUUUUUUUAUAACCAUGUAACUUUUUAAUUGAUUUAGUUUUGUAAAAAAUGUAUUGUUGUUACAGAGUGUUUUUUGUUUUUUUUGCCCGAAGUAAUUUUAUUAUAAAAUAGCUUGUAUAUGUGUUUUUAGAACCUGAAUACAUCUUGUUUUUUCCCAGAUAUGACAAAAAUAAUGAUAGUAACAAAUAAUAUCAGUUCAGAACAAAGUCAUUUCUUAAUGCCAGAGUUUAAAUCACUUUUAGAACAGCGAUGUAACCAGAAACCGAGGCAACAUGAGAAUGUAGACAAGAAGUAGCCAUGACAACAACACAGUCAUAAUAAAGGAUGCCAUUCACUCCCUCA